rnacentral:rRNA from 1 species
UACAGGGGGGGCAAGCGUUGUUCGGAAUUACUGGGCGUAAAGGGCGCGUAGGCGGCCUUCUAAGUCGAACGUGAAAUCCCCGGGCUCAACCCGGGAACUGCGUCCGAUACUGGAAGGCUUGAAUCCGGGAGAGGGAUGCGGAAUUCCAGGUGUAGCGGUGAAAUGCGUAGAGAUCAUGAGGAAGACCAGUGGCGAAGGCGGGUCUCUGGACAGUUCCUGACACUGAGGCACGAAGGCCAGGGGAGCAAACGGG